CCGCUACAGUCAGUGGAGGAGAGUGGUGUGGGUGGACGUGCGUUGGAUUUCCUGCCUUCUCCAGCACUACUCGUGGUCAUUGUGAAACGGGACUGCUGAGUUUUCACCUUAAGCAUAUUCCCAACCCCCCAGCAAAUGGAGGAGACAGGAGACGCACAGUGUGAUCAAGAGGACCACCAGCACCGUGGCCAGGAACAGAGAGAGACGGUAGACCUGAGCGCAGUCCUGACUUCCACCUCCUUCGCCUGCUGGUCACCCGGCCAGCCUUCCCCAUUACAGAGCAGGCUCAGAGCUCAUAGACCGAUCUUCAGAAUGAGUUGUUCAUUCUUGUCUUGCAACUAGAGGUAAAGCUGCUUUUGUAAGAAACAAGAACAACCAUAUUCAGCAACCAUCAUUUCACCGUCAAGUGUUUCUGCCUGAAUGAGUACACAUCACCUACUACGCUUACCUUCACUUGCUCAUCAACACUUCAUCACUACCAUGGUACUUGCUUGAUAUGGCAUUCUUUCAUGAUAUGUACACACUAUGACACCAUUUCUUACCACUCUAACACCACCUUAACUCAAUGGAAAGAUGAAUACUUUUCUCCCUGUGCCAAUAUAUAUAUAUAUAUAUAUAUAUAUAUAUAUAUAUAUAUAUAUAUAUAUAUAUAUAUAUAUAUAUAUAUAUAUAUUGCAGAAGUGGUCAAAUAGUUUUCACUAAAUAUAUUAUUUAUAUGAAGUUGAUAUAUUUUUAGUAAUUAAAUUUUAAGUACAUGCUUUUCUCCAGAAAUAAUUCAUGAUUUCCACUAUAUGUUACUUGUACACUUAUUGUUAUUGAUUUCUACUGGCCAUCAUUCCUUUGUUUCAGGCUUGAGAAGUUUUGCUGCAGCUUCCUCCUCUGCUGAGCCAGAUGCCGGCACUGGCUCUGUUUUGGGAAAUUCCCCGGAAUUGGUUUCUUCAAUAGCUUUUCUCAGCUGUGAAACAAAAACUCCUCCUCCUCCCACCGCCGCUGUUCCUCAAGGCUGAUCUCCACCAUCCGCUCCAAUGGCUGUUAGAACACACUUGCAAUAAGAAGUCAUGUAAUGUUGAAUUUUCAUGAAUAUUUUGUUUAAAUACAUUGAAUGAUUUUUUUUCUAUCCUUUUUAUUUUUUUUAUUGACCUGAACCAAAAGCCAGUUACAUAUAAAAAAGAUUCCAGAUUUUCCUUUCUUGCACAAGU